AGUUAAUGAACUUGUAUAAGUUUAUAUUUUGAAAAUAUAAUAAAGAGAUCAAAUUCUCUAUUAACUU